GCCCCAUCCCCUUUCUUCUUCUAACCCUUCUGCAAAUUAAUCCUUUUUCUUUCUUCAAUCUUUCUGUCUGCUUACUUAAUUAAUUUCUUCAUGAAUGAAAAAAAAUAUAUAUGAAUAAGUAGUGAAUUUAAUUCAUCUUUUUUUCUCUUCAAUCUUUCCAUCCUUUUCUCCCUCUUCUAACCCCUAAUCCUCAUCUACACACUUUAUUAAUUUCUUCAGGAAUAAAAAGAAAUAUGUAUGAUGAAGUAGUGAAUUUUAACACCCUUUUUUACAACUUCAUUAUAGAAGAGAAAUAACCAUUCCUUUUCUUCUAAUAUUCAAUUCAAUUUGUCACAAGUAGAAUAAUUUUUUUCAGUUUUUACAAUCUCUAAAAGCUUAAUUUUCUAAUACCCGCUUUGCUUCAAAAAUGUUCACACAAUUUCUUACUAGGAUUACUGUAACUGUGUUUCUUCAAUUCCAACGACGUUUCUUGUUUGUUUUGCCCGUAAUUGCAUUCAAUCAAUGAAUCUAUCUAUUAAUUUUUUUUUUUUAAAAAAAGAGUUUUAGAUUGUGUUAAUUAAAAUUUUAAAGCGUUUUGAUUGUAGAAGGAGAAAGAGGGUGCGGGAAUUUGGAGAAGUAGAGAAAGAAAAGGUUUUGCAGAAGAAGAAAGGGGAGCGGUGGGGUCGAAAAAAAUAGGGGGGGGGGGGGGGGGGGGGUGUUUUGAAAGAAGGUGGUAGGGCUUGAAGUAGAAAGAUUUUGUUGUUUUUUGACGGGGGAGGGGAGUUGAGGGCUGUGUUCUUUUUUCUUUUAUAGUAUAAUAAAUAAAUUAGUGGAGUACUUUUUUUUAAAACAAAUUUUGGCGUGGCAAUAAUGUGAUGGCUGAUCUUGCGAUGAUGAUAGCACAUGUCAAUUUGGUUUGCUUCUCUGGACUGCUGGUUGCCAAGAAGACUAAUGAUGCAAGUAAUUACUGAUAAUGGAUGGCGUUUGGCAGCUGAAUACUGCAUUUGUGCAAUGAAUGCAUAUGAGUAUGGUCAUGUUAGUGCAUGGUAUUCAAAUGAGAAAUUAGAUGAAUUCUACGUCAUGAACUGAUGGUAAACGAGCAUUUCAUGAAGCAAAUGAGAAUAGAGUGAUUGCAAGGAAUUGGAAUACAUCAGUCUUGGCUGGUUUUUGUAUUGUUGCAUUCGGACUAAGGGGAGUUCUUAUUCGGGGAUGAAGCAGAACUGUGAGGAACUCCAGGGAAGCCACGCAUAGGUCGGAAUGGGAAUGGAGGGAGAUGAAAUGGUGAAGUUGGUCGUAAUGGGGUUAAACCUGGUACAUAUGGUGGAGUGGAACCAAAUAUAGGUGGUGAGAGAAUUGGAGGUGAUAUUGAAGGCGGAGCCAUUGGAGGUAAAUGAAAAGUUGGUGGAAAUAUUGAAGGUGGAGAUGUUGGAGGUGAAUGAAAAAUCGGUGGAAGUACUAUAAUAGGUGGCAGAGGAGGGAGCUGCGGCAAAGGAGGCAGUCCUGGAAGAGGUGGAAGAAAGCCUUGAUUAAUGGUAAUAAAACUUGACAUUGAUGGAUAAAAUAUGGGAUCAUUAGGAGUUGAAGUUAAAGACUUGUCAGGAUAUGCUUCUUUCUUGUUGGUACUAUGGAUGCUUGGCUUUUGGUUGCAGAGCUUUGGUUGGUAGACAGGUUUGUAAGUGAAGAAUCCAGCAGAGAAAAUAUGUGUUCCCUUUUUCCUCGACUGGAGUCGGAAAGAAGAAGAAGAAGCUUCUGUCGAUGCCACAGCGCAAUGUGGCUUACUGCUGCUGAUUAGCCUGGCCGAACAUCCCAUAAUAUGCUUGACAUGUUUGUCCACCAAGAAAGGAAGGUGUAUACUGAAUUCUCCACGCAUAUUGGUCGUCACUUCUUGAUAAAAUCUUUUUCUUUUGCCUGAAUUGGCACAUUCUACUGCCGCAAUAGCUCCUAAAAGAUGAAAUAUGCAUAAAAAUAAGUUAUUUUC